rnacentral:rRNA from 1 species
GCUUUUCUUGAUUAGUGGCGCACGGGUGAGUAAUGCAUAGAUAAUGUGCCCUUAGUUCGGGAUAGCCACUGGAAACGGCGAUUAAUACCGGAUACUCCUCCUUGUUAUAAGACAAGUCGGGAAAGUUUUUCGCUAAGGGAUCAGUCUAUGUUCCAUCAGCUUGUUGGUGAGGUAAUGGCUCACCAAGGCUAUGACGGAUAUCUGGUUUGAGAGGAUGAUCAGACACACUGGAACUGAGACACGGUCCAGACUCCUACGGGAGGCAGCAGUGAGGAAUAUUGCACAAUGGAGGAAACUCUGAUGCAGCAACGCCGCGUGGAGGAUGACGCAUUUCGGUGUGUAAACUCCUUUUAUUAGGGAAGAUAAUGACGGUACCUAAUGAAUAAGCACCGGCUAACUCCGUGCCAGCAGCCGCGGUAAUACGGAGGGUGCAAGCGUUACUCGGAAUCACUGGGCGUAAAGGGUGCGUAGGCUGGCUUUUAAGUCAGAUGUGAAAUCCAAUGGCUCAACCAUUGAACUGCAUUUGAAACUGAAAGCCUAGAGUUCAGAAGGGGCAGAUGGAAUUAGUGGUGUAGGGGUAAAAUCCGUAGAUAUCACUAGGAAUAUCAAAAGCGAAGGCGAUCUGCUGGGAUGAUACUG